CAUAUGCUUGUUUCAAGGACUAAGCCAUGCAUGCCUCAGAAUAACUGCACUGCAGGAGUCUGCGCAUGGCUCAUUACAUCAGACSCAAUCUGCCGCMAAAAUGUUGCGGAAACGCAUUAUUGGAUACCUUGUGCGAAACCGCCAAGCUAAUACAUGAACUAAUGGGAUCGUUCCGUUCCACACGCCGGAGGCUUGCCGAAGGCGUGGUGACCGACCCUGCGGAUGAAUGAAAGUACAAAUCAACGCUUCGCAAGAAGCAGUAUCACUGAGAAGUGCUGAAUCAAUUCAUCUUUGCGUAAGCUGGCCUAGCCAGCGUCUUUUGACGAACAACUGCCCUAUCAGCCAGUGAUGGCCGUGUAGUGGACUGCCAUGGCGUUGACGGGAGCGGGGGAUUAGGGUUCGAUUCCGGAGAGGGAGCCUGAGAAAUGGCUACCACUUCUACGGAGGGCAGCAGGCGCGCAAAUUGCCCAAUGCCAAAACAAAUGAUGAGGCAGCGAAAAGAAAUAGGUGCCCCAAACUCYUAGUGGGUUUGGGGGCUUUCAAUGGGGGAUAUUUAACACCAUCCAACAUCGAGUAACAAUUGGAGGACAAGUCUGGUGCCAGCACCCGCGGUAAUUCCAGCUCCAAGAGCGUAUAUUAACGCUGUUGCUGUUAAAGGGUUCGUAGUUGAACUGUGGAGCAUGAUUCAGAGAUCCCGUCCUUUUCCCACGGUCUAGGAACGUCUCUAUCAUACUCCGAGAACGUCAGAAACUAAGAUCACGGGAGCGUUUUUUACAAAUGGCCACCAAUUACGCGAGCAAUGCACGCUGGUGGACGUCCGUGUUCAUUACUGUGACUAAAGAAGUGCGACCAAAGCAGUCCAUCGACAUGAAUUAGAAAGCAUGGGAUAACAAAGUAGCAGCCUAUGAGCUACCGUUUAGGCUUUUGUUGGUUUUAAAAGUUCGUGGGAGAUUACGGGUUUGUAGGACCGGUGUUGGCGAGCCCUCGGGUUCCCGCAUCUCCUCCUUGUGCUGGAAACGGUGCUUGGAGGCCUAUUUUACUCAGGAAUGAAGGAGGGUUGCUCGGGGGAAAACGUACUUGGGCGUGAGAGGUGAAAUUCUUAGACCGCCCAAAGACGAACUACAGCGAAGGCAUUUUCCAAGGAUACCUUCCUCAAUCAAGAACCAAAGUGUGGGGAUCGAAGAUGAUUAGAGACCAUUGUAGUCCACACCACAAACGGUGACCCCCAUGAAUUGGGGAGUUUUUGUGGGCGGCAUCUCCAGGCUCGUCCUGGUUGGUGUCCCACAAUAAAGACGGGAACGUCCUCAGCACGUUCUCUUACUGUUUCACGCGAAAGCUUUGAGGUUACAGUCUCAGGGGGGAGUACGUUCGCAAGAGUGAAACUUAAAGAAAUUGACGGAAUGGCACCACAAGAUGUGGAGCGUGCGGUUUAAUUUGACUCAACACGGGGACUUUACCAGAUCCGGAAAGGGUAAGGAUUGACAGAUUGAUUGUUCUUUCUCGAUUCUCUCAAUGGUGGUGCAUGGCCGCUUUUGGUCGGUGGAGUGAUUUGUUUGGUUGAUUCCGUCAACGGACGAGAUCCAAGCUGCCCAGUAGGGGCCUGAAUCGYCAAUUUGAAGACMGCGCUCCAGAGCUGGCUCCGGCUUAGCUCUUGGACUUUCUUCGGUUGGCUCCUUCUCUGCAGGAUUCCUGGUUUUGCGCUAGGUGAAAUUUUGGGCAACAGCAGGUCUGUGAUGCUCCUCAAUGCUCUGGGCGACACGCGCACUACAAUGUCAGUGAGAACAAGAAGACCUACGUUUCGUAGGACCUGCCUGACCACAAGGGCGGGGAAACACCGGAAUCACAUCGACCCAAUUGGGACCGAGUAUUGCAAUUAUUGGUCGCGUAACGAGGAAUAUCUCGUAGGCGUAGYUCAUCAAACUGUGCCGAUUACGUCCCUGCCAUUUGUACACACCGCCCGUCGUUGUUUCCGAUGAUGGUGCAAUSCAGGUGAUCGGACAAGCGGAGAUUCUGUCUCUGUUUGAAAGUUCACCGACAUUUCUUCAAUAGAGGAAGCAAAAGUCGUAACAAGGUAGCUGUAGGUGAACCUGC
rnacentral:rRNA from 1 species